GCUAUUCUCUUUACCUGGCCCUGAUGCGCGCCAGCCAACCAGGCCAAGGCCAGGGGACCUCGAGACCGGCAGCCUCGACGAAGAACCGGAAGGAGGAAGAGGAACGGGAAGGAGGAAGAUCUCCCGCAUUGACUUCAUAACCAAGUUCUGGGUCCCUGCCACUGGAGUGCCUGAUGAGACAAAACGGCUCCUCGUCCUGCAUCCCCGCUGCUACUUCCAGAAUUCAGGCCUCGUGGCCUGGAGCCUGCACUGUUCCAUGAGCCCCCUGACCAACCUGGAGGCCUCUGUCUUUCUUCCCUCGGUGAGAUGCGCCUACUUCUCCCUGGAGAAGCUCGAGGAAGCAGAAAUGCUGGAGAUGAGACCCAGCACACCCUGCCUGCAUGGCGCUGUGCUGCACCUUCACUCUGGUCACGGGUCUGGCAGUCGGCUCACCAAUUCCUCCCGCUUCCCUGGGACUCGCCGGCUUUUAGCACUGCAAUUCACUCAGCAAACUGGGACUGUUGGUCACCCUACCUGGCAGCCAGUGAUAAGGUGAGGGCCACUCCUGGGAGGGAGGACACCUGUGGGGAAAAUUCUUGUGUUAUUUAUUUCUCCUUCAGGAUAGGGUGCCUGCAGCGCUUCAUGGGAGGGGGUGGGCUGAUGCUGCGGACUCAGAAGUUUCAAGGGCAUCUGGGGAGACCAGAUAUUCAGAGACCUUCUCCUAGAUGUGCCUGUUCCAUGUAUCAGGGACGCAGGUUUUCCCAACAG
rnacentral:antisense_RNA from 1 species